UACACACACGCUACCAAUGGUCAGCACAAUAGGUAGCCAAGCCGCGAGGUGGAGCCAAUCCUACAAAGCUGCCUACAGUUCAGAUCGCAGGCUGCAACCCGCCUGCGUGAAGCCGGAGUUGCUAGUAACCGCAGGUCAGCUAUACUGCGGUGAAUACGUUCCCGGGCUU
rnacentral:rRNA from 1 species